GGGCGUGGCUUGAGUAUUUCGUCCUGGAAAAAUCGAUAGGAAUCUUGUAAUGAUGCGAGGAGACUACGUCUCAAAGAAUAGAAACUGAGGAGUUGGGUCGGAUUGAAUCAAGUGAAGAGUGCAGGCAUCCUUUACAUGUAGAAAAAAUAUUAAGAAAAAGAUUCCAGUGGAAGGCAAUCGUUUGAAUGUAUCCAGGUUCUGUCUCAAUAAAGAUGCCUUUCCCUUUAAGAGCCGGAUCAGCAUUGCACAAGCUGUCAGGUGCACAGAGACAGCAAACCAAGAAUAAACUGAUGUACUAGAGUGAAAAAGAAACUUGUAAACAAAUACUCUCCCUCCCUCCCUCCCUCCUGGUCACUCCCUAUAUUUUUCUUUUGUACUCAUUCAAUUGACUCAGGUCUGCAAUGGUUCAAACAUAAUACCUCUACUCUUGGGUAUAUGCAGUAGUGGAGCACAUAAACACACAGCAUAGGCCUACUUUUAGGGAACAUGUUUUAACAUAGUUGCACAGAAAUAAAUUCUAUUAAAAGAAUCUUGACAGAAUGGGGUUUACAAGCUAUAUAGUAUAGCAUCUUUUCUGUUUUGUACUUUGUUUUCCAGUGCCAUCUCCUCCCAUGCUGCUCCUGGAAGCUGAAUUCAGAUGGUGCCAUAGAGUACUUUAUGGCAUCUAGCACCAUUUGAAAUCAGUGUUCUUGGGUCGGUCCUGACAUCACAUGGGAGACCUAAAUGGUGUUGACUACUGCAAUAUUUGUGAUCAGUGUCUCUGCAUGUCUGAUUUGCAUAAGUUUUAUAAAUUAAUAAAACUAAUUUAUCCUUA